ACGACCGCGGGGGAUGCAGAUGGUCCAAAAUUUCUUUUGUCUCUUUCCACCAGGUUUCAGUUCUACUCGAUUUCUCAAUGAAUCUGAAGUUAUCGUGAGUAAAAGUCUAUGCGAACUUGUCAAGGAAUGACGCAAAUUGCUAUUGGAAGUGAAGACCGGUCACCGGCGCUAGCUGAAGAAAUGCCGACAUGUAUGUGACUAUGUGAGAUAAGUAUUUUUUGUCUUUGUCUCUCUCUCUGUUUCUCUUAACUGCAGAGGAGCUCCAUGAUGCUUCCCAUAAGUGGUUUGUCAACAAUUGGUUGCUUGUUGUUUUAUGUAAAUUUUUCUUUCUGCAGGGGAACAGUUUUGGAACCUCCUUGUCCAAGGAACGUUGAUGGGAUUAGUAUUGAUCUGAGCCUAACUGGAAUUUCCAUAGCUUAGUAUCUGAGUUCGAGUCUAUUGAAAAAAAGCUCAAUGCCUUUUCAAAGUUUCCCCAGCCAAUUACUAACACAACCUUGCGUUGAUUGGCGUGUUAAAAGGAGUGAAGAAGAAGAAGAAGAAGAAGAAGAAGAUUAUAAUCAAAUAUGUAUAGUGGGGAGACGUUUUGCAUUUGAUGAACUAUACUUGAGUGAUGAAUCUGAUGAUGAGUUUGACCAUGAACAUGAGUAUAUGAUGAAUAAGAUGGGUGUGGCUAAGAGUGCCCUAUACGAUGUGAAUAACAACGACCAAACCGAAAGGCUGAGAGUGCCCUAUACGAUGUGAAUAACAACCACCAAACCGAAACCACAAUAGCAUGAUACUGUUGCAGAUCUUUGAUGAAACCAAACUGAUAUUGGUGGAGAUCUACAUGAUGGAAGGGAAGUCAUUCUCUAGUUGAAUUUCAUUCAAGCAAAUCAAAUGAGGUUGCAGAUGCAUUGUCACGACAGAGUGAGAAUGAAGUUGAGGGAAAAUGUGUGGUUUAUAUGAUACAAGGGUCUGGCUCAAGAAUUCUUGAAUGAUUAAAAGCUGAAGUUGCAACUCAACCUCACCUCGCCAAAAUUCGCGAUAAGAUAAUAUGAGGAGAGCUUCCUCGUGAAUGGGAGGCUAGAGAAGGGCUGAUUAUUUUAAGGGCAGAAUUUACAUCUCGAACGACUCAACUUUGGUCGCGAAGUGGUAUCAGGAUUUCAAAACUUUGGUCAUGAGGGGGUUCAAAAAACCAUGGAUCGAAUUAUUACUGGAAAGGGUGGAAGAAGACUGUUUAAGAAUUUGUGAGGGAGUGUCAAAUUUGCCAUCAAAACAAGUGGGAAACAUUCCAACCUGCUGGAUUGCUACAACCACUUCAAGUUCCUAUGCAAGUUUGGCCGGAUAUUACUAUGGAUUUCUUGGAAGCUUUGCCUAAAGUUUUUGGGAAAACAGUGAUCUUAGUAGUGGACUAAUAGUGGUUGAUCAUUUCUCAAAAUAUGCUCAUUUCAUUGCUCUUAAUCAUUCGUAUACUACUACUACCUCCGUAGCACAAAUAUUUUUUUGUGACAUUAUGCGCUUACAUGGUAUUCUCGAGACCAUAGUGACUAAUUGUGAUAAGUAUCUCGAAGCCUAUUUUGGCGAGAAUUGUGGAGAAUGAUGGGGACAAAAUUGUGUUUCACUACAACAUAUCGACCUCAAUCUGAUGGGCAGACGCAAAUUGUUAAUCGGACCUUGGAAAUGUAUCUUCAUUGUUUAAGAGGUGAUGCUCCGCAUAACUGGCAUUUCGAGUAGUAUAUGGGAGGGAGCCUUGGGAGGUGGUACGCGAGUGGAAGCAGUUGAUGUCGCGUUGGAACAGCAAGAUGAAUUCCUAGCAUUAGCAAGAGAAAGACUUCUCGAAACUCAGCAUUGGAUGAAGCUCACGUAUGAUAACCAUCAUCGGUUUGUAAAGUUUCAGGUGGGAGAUUGGAUGUUGCUCAAAUUACAACCAUAUCGACAGUUAACGAACUCUAAGAAGGCUUACACGAAACUAUCCCCAAAAUAUUAUGGUCCAUUUGAAAUUGCGGUUUAUAUAGGAACAGUUUCGUACCGUUUACACCUUCCGGAGGGAUCGAAAGUUCAUGAUGUGUUCCAAUUUUCUCUUCUGAAGGAUCAUAAAGGGGAAUGACCCGACGUCGUCACUUAUUUACCUCUGGU